UCCAGUUUAUCACCGGCAGUCCCCCUAGAGUGCCCACCAUGACGUGAUGGCAACUAAGGGCAAAGGUUGCGCUCGUUGCGGGACUUAACCCAACACUUCACAGCACGAGCUGACGACAGCCAUGCAGCACCUGUGCAAAGGUCCCUUGCGGGAAGACCGGCUUUCACCGGCUGUCCUAUGCAUUUCAAGCCUGGGUAAGGUUCUUCGCGUAGCCUCGAAUUAAACCACAUGCUCCACCGCUUGUGCGGGUCCCCGUCAAUUUCUUUGAGUUUCAGUCUUGCGACCGUACUCCCCAGGUGGUGGAUUUAAUGAGUUAUCGUCGGCACUGAAGGGAUCAACACCCCCAACACCUAAUCCACAUCGUUUACGGCAAGGACUAC
rnacentral:misc_RNA from 1 species